CUGCAGUUUCAAUCAAAGAAAUGGUGGCAUUCAGAAGGAGGAUGGAGAAUUCAUUGGAGAACUACAAAGGAAUUUCAGUCCUGGUGACAGUAGUAAAGCAGUCAGCCAAAGGUCUGAAGAGAAAAACUAAUCAAGAGGAAGGAAGAAAAACCACAAGAAGCAAUUGUUCACCUGAAGACCAUUUCUGAUGAGUUUGAAUAUAAAUACAAGAAUC
rnacentral:lncRNA from 1 species